rnacentral:misc_RNA from 1 species
AAAAUAUUUUAUAUAAAAAUUAAUUAGGUGAAAUAAAAGGUAAUUUAAUCAAUUACUAAUAUAUUUUUAUUUUUAUAAAGCUGAAGUUAUUCAAUCAUUUUUUUUAAGAAGUAUAAAUCUUAAAUGUGACAAAAAAAAGAUAAACGAAAGUAAUGUAUCAUAACUUUAUAUAUAUAUAUGUAUGUAUAUUAAAUAAACCUAUACCAUAUUUUCUUUUACCUUAUUUUAUCUUAUUUUAUUAAACUUCCCUUCACCUCAUCUAAACAAACUCUAAAUGUAAUUGGAAGGAAAUUGUCAAAGGAGGGAAGAGUAUAAAAUAAGAAAAAUUAUAUAAUGAAACCAACGUAUGUAUAAUGGUUUUAUUGUAAUGGUUAAUUGUGAUAAGUCUCAUUAUGAUAAAUGAUUAUAAUUAAACUGUUGUAUGUACAAAUAUAAAAGGUAAAUAAGGCAUUCCAUAUUAUUAAGAACCCAUUGAUUCACAUUAAAUAUUAAAUAUGAUUCAUGUUGAUCCUUAAUCAUAGUCUAACAGGGAAAUAUCAGAGUCCAUAGAACUAUUCUAUACACAUCUGUUUAAUAAAACAUUUGCAGAGAUAUAAUGAUAGAUUACUCGAACAAGACAACAACAUUAGCACAUACGCUAUUUGAAUUGCUGUCAGAAGCUCUGGGGCUGGAUCCCAACUACCUUAAAAAUAUAGGCUGCGCAGAGGGACUACUCUUUCUAGGUCAUUACUACCCAGCUUGCCCUGAACCAGAGUUGACAAUGGGCAUUGGUAGCCAUUCUGAUAAUAGCUUCCUUACUGUGCUUCUACAAGAUCAAAUUGGCGGCCUGCAAGUGCUUUGUGGAAAUGAAUGGAUUGAUGUCCCACCAACUCCAGGAGCACUUGUAAUAAACCUUGGAGAUUUGUUACAGGUAAGUUAAUUUAUUUCAAAUUCAACUUAGGUGGGUCAGAUUUGUAUUAAAUCAGAAUUUGACACGUCUAAACUUAUUAUAGUUAAUAUUUUUCUCCAUUCUUUGAAUCAAAUGAAUUGCAGAUAAUUCUCCAACUCUAUGUUUUUUUGCAGCUAAUAUCUAAUGAUAAAUUUAAAAGCUCCAAACACAGAGUACCUGCGAAACCCGUAGGUCCAAGAAUUUCAGUGGCAUGUUUUUACACACAACAUCGUUCUUUGGAGACAGAGUCAAGGGUAUAUGGGCCAAUUAAGGAGUUGCUAUCGGAAGAAAAUCCACCCGUUUACAGAGAAACGAGUGUGAAGGACUAUUUGUCACACUACUUCUCGAAAGGACUUGAUGGGAUAUCUGCUUUAGAGGCUUUCAAGUUGUGAAAUUGGCUACAAACAUAAGCUUUAUGAAGUAAUCCCUUAAAUAAACUGUGCCUACGUGUGAGUCUACUGCUUGCGGUGCAUACAAGACUAGUACAACUAUCAGGUAUUUCUUUGAACGAGUAUGUAUACAUAAAACUUAUUAUGCAACUAUAGAUGUAAACAUUUUAUAAAGUUAUGUGAUUAAAUGAAUGGUCAAUCACGGUUAUAAAUUUAAUAUUCAUUCUGUCCUCUGCCAACGGCAAUCGAUAAUGAUGAUUUGUUACUUUUAAGGUCUAUCAUCUAACUGGGUUGAUAUAAAAGAUAGUAGCUUUCGGUGAGCAGGCGAUUGUCUUAUACUGCUGAGGAGGAUUUCCUGGUAUCGACCAUCUAGAUUGACUUAAUAGGCUAACGGCAUCCUUAAAAUAUAAUUUGGUAAUAGUUGAUUUGUUCCAAUAUUUAUCUUUGCCUAUUAAAAAAAAAAUAUUUGUCUUUGUGUAGGAGGCCGGGGCAGAGGAAGAUAGAGCAAGGCGCCGGAAGCCCUUCUAACCCUAUCAAAUUUACAACUGCAUUUAUAUAGUAGAAAAACA